AGCGACGCCGCGUGGUGACGAAGGCCUUCGGGUUGUAAAGCCCUGUGGGGUAGAACGAACUGGCAUCGGGCUAAUAUCCCGGUGUCUUGACGGUACUGCCUUAGCAAGCAUCGGCUAACUCUGUGCCAGCAGCCGCGGUAAGACAGAGGAUGCGAACGUUGCUCGGAUUUACUGGGCGUAAAGCGCGUGUAGGCGGUCUCGUUAGUCGGGUGUGAAAGCCCCGGGCUCAACCCGGGAAGUGCACCCGAUACUGCGAGACUGGGGUACUGAAGAGGAGAGCGGAAUUCCCGGUGUAGAGGUGAAAUUCGUAGAUAUCGGGAGGAACACCAGUGGCGAAGGCGGCUCUCUGGGCAGAUACCGACGCUGAGACGCGAAAGCGUGGGGAGCAAACAGGAUUAGAUACCCUGGUAGUCCACGCUGUAAACGAUGACGACUGGGUGUUGCAGGUAUUGACCCCUGCGGUGCCGAAGCCAACGCGUUAAGUCGUCCGCCUGGGAAGUACGGCCGCAAGGCUAAAACUCAAAGGAAUUGACGGGGG
rnacentral:rRNA from 1 species